AGAUUGAACGCUGGCGGCAUGCCUUACACAUGCAAGUCGAACGGCAGCACGGGAGCAAUCCUGGUGGCGAGUGGCGAACGGGUGAGUAAUACAUCGGAACGUGCCCAGUAGCGGGGGAUAACCCGGCGAAAGCCGGACUAAUACCGCAUACGACCUACGGGUGAAAGCAGGGGAUCGCAAGACCUUGCGCUAUCGGAGCGGCCGAUGUCAGAUUAGCUUGUUGGCGGGGUAAAAGCCCACCAAGGCGACGAUCUGUAGCUGGUCUGAGAGGACGACCAGCCACACUGGGACUGAGACACGGCCCAGACUCCUACGGAGGCAGCAGUGGGAAUUUGGACAAUGGGCGCAAGCCUGAUCCAGCCAUGCCGCGUGCGGGAAGAAGGCCUUCGGUUGUAAACCGCUUUGUCAGGUAAGAACGCUCGGUAAUACCUCGGAGUAAUGACGUACUGAAGAAUAAGCACGCUAACACGUACCAGCAGCGC
rnacentral:rRNA from 1 species